rnacentral:tRNA from 2 species
GGGCGGGUAGCUCAGCGGUAGAGCGGCGGCCUUACAAGCCGUUGGUCGCAGGUUCGAUCCCUGUCCCGCCCA